rnacentral:rRNA from 1 species
AACACAUGCAAGUCGAACGGAAAGGCCCUGCUUUUGUGGGGUGCUCGAGUGGCGAACGGGUGAGUAACACGUGAGUAACCUGCCCUUGACUUUGGGAUAACUUCAGGAAACUGGGGCUAAUACCGGAUAGGAGCUCCUGCUGCAUGGUGGGGGUUGGAAAGUUUCGGCGGUUGGGGAUGGACUCGCGGCUUAUCAGCUUGUUGGUGGGGUAGUGGCUUACCAAGGCUUUGACGGGUAGCCGGCCUGAGAGGGUGACCGGCCACAUUGGGACUGAGAUACGGCCCAGACUCCUACGGGAGGCAGCAGUGGGGAAUAUUGCACAAUGGGCGGAAGCCUGAUGCAGCAACGCCGCGUGCGGGAUGACGGCCUUCGGGUUGUAAACCGCUUUCGCCUGUGACGAAGCGUGAGUGACGGUAAUGGGUAAAGAAGCACCGGCUAACUACGUGCCAGCAGCCGCGGUGAUACGUAGGGUGCGAGCGUUGUCCGGAUUUAUUGGGCGUAAAGGGCUCGUAGGUGGUUGAUCGCGUCGGAAGUGUAAUCUUGGGGCUUAACCCUGAGCGUGCUUUCGAUACGGGUUGACUUGAGGAAGGUAGGGGAGAAUGGAAUUCCUGGUGGAGCGGUGGAAUGCGCAGAUAUCAGGAGGAACACCAGUGGCGAAGGCGGUUCUCUGGGCCUUUCCUGACGCUGAGGAGCGAAAGCGUGGGGAGCGAACAGGCUUAGAUACCCUGGUAGUCCACGCUGUAAACGGUGGGUACUAGGUGUGGGGUCCAUUCCACGGGUUCCGUGCCGUAGCUAACGCUUUAAGUACCCCGCCUGGGGAGUACGGCCGCAAGGCUAAAACUCAAAGGAAUUGACGGGGCCCCGCACAAGCGGCGGAGCAUGCGGAUUAAUUCGAUGCAACGCGUAGAACCUUACCUGGGUUUGACAUGGAUCGGGAGUGCUCAGAGAUGGGUGUGCCUCUUUUGGGGUCGGUUCACAGGUGGUGCAUGGCUGUCGUCAGCUCGUGUCGUGAGAUGUUGGGUUAAGUCCCGCAACGAGCGCAACCCUUGUUCACUGUUGCCAGCACGUUAUGGUGGGGACUCAGUGGAGACCGCCGGGGUCAACUCGGAGGAAGGUGGGGAUGACGUCAAGUCAUCAUGCCCCUUAUGUCCAGGGCUUCACGCAUGCUACAAUGGCUGGUACAGAGAGUGGCGAGCCUGUGAGGGUGAGCGAAUCUCGGAAAGCCGGUCUCAGUUCGGAUUGGGGUCUGCAACUCGACCUCAUGAAGUCGGAGUCGCUAGUAAUCGCAGAUCAGCAACGCUGCGGUGAAUACGUUCCCGGGGCUUGUACACACCGCCCGUCAAGUCAUGAAAGUUGGUAACACCCGAAGCCGGUGGCCUAACCGUUGUGGGGGAGCCGUCGAAGGUGGGACUGGUGAUUAGGACUAAGU